AUGGCUAUCAACCGAGUAUAUUUUUUCAUUGCAAUUCUUUGUAUUGCUUUAGUUUUGCAUCCAGGUGGUGCAAGAAGAUAUGAAGAAAUUAUGAGUGAUGAUAUCACGACUGAUUGUUUUGACACACCAGAAUGUCCAUUAUCUAAUGAAAGUUGUUUACAGAGAUGUGGACGACGAGGAUGUGUGAUUGUCGCUUCUGCCCCUGGGGUCAUGAUGAGGAGAGUGACAAGCUUGGGAUCGUCCUCGUGGUCCCGUAAUUUCUAG